GAUGUCAGAACCAGGGUUUCCCCUGGGUCAAUUAUUUUUUUCGCCACCUCUUUCGCCAAAACAAUAUGUUUUUUCGCCACUUUAUUAUUUUUUUCGCCAAGUAACAUAAAUAUAUUUUUCCUGUUGUGCCCUUUUGUACUAAGAAGUAAUUUUUACAACAAAACAAAAGCUUUUAUCACAUGAAAUUGAUCCCUCAUUUCAUGUGUAGUCAUUACAUUGAAGGGUUACUCUCAUUCGAGGGGUUGUUCCCAGCCUUUUGGAUAGAUUUUUUCAUAACGGCAGUUUUCUUUUCUUGACUAUCGUAAAUGAAAAAGUUGA
rnacentral:lncRNA from 1 species